rnacentral:rRNA from 1 species
AUCUGGGCUCGUGUCGUGAGAUGUUGGGUUAAGUCCCGCAACGAGCGCAACCCUUAUCCUAUGUUGCCAGCGCGUCAUGGCGGGGACUCAUAGGAGACUGCCGGGGUCAACUCGGAGGAAGGUGGGGAUGACGUCAAGUCAUCAUGCCCCUUACGUCUUGGGCUGCACACAUGCUACAAUGGCCGGUACAAAGGGCUGCGAUACCGCAAGGUGGAGCGAAUCCCAAAAAGCCGGUCUCAGUUCGGAUCGGGGUCUGCAACUCGACCCCGUGAAGUCGGAGUCGCUAGUAAUCGCAGAUCAGCAUUGCUGCGGUGAAUACGUUCCCGGGCCUUGUACACACCGCCCGUCACGUCACGAAAGUCGGUAACACCCGAAGCCGGUGGCCCAACCCUUGUGGGGGGAGCCGUCGAAGGUGGGACCGGCGAUUGGGACGAAGUCGUAACAAGGUAGCCGUACCGGAAGGUGCGGCUGGAUCACCUCCUUUCUAAGGAGCUUUCUGGCUGGGUGCCCUCUGUAGUGGAGGGUAGUCUGGUCCAGAGCGAAGACCAGCUGGAUGGUUGGUCUGGGUGCUCAUGGGUGUGGAACCGCUGACUAUGUUUCUGUCUGGUCUGGUCUGUUGUCCGGGGUUCCUGUGUGUUCUCUGGGUGGUGGGUUGUCUGGGUGGAUCGGUACACUGUUGGGUUGUGAGGGGGAGUGAGUUGCCCCUACUUGUUUAAAAUCCUGCCUUCUGGUCUUGACCCGGUUUUUUAUUCUCG